UUUUUUUCAAUUAUCAAACAAUUUCUAAAUUUAAUUUUGCAAAUAUACUUGUUAUACAUAAAUAAUUCGUCAACGUUAUAGUUUUGCCCAAAUAGUUUUUAGAAAUUGAUUGCGCAAACAGAUUUUAUAAAAGAUUAAUAUAUUUUUAUAUCUAUUUAUUUGUAUUUUUUUUACUGUGAAUUUAUAUAUGUUACAGAUCUUUUAUCACAUUUGUGCCUCAUAGUAUUGUUUCGAUUGGGUGCGAAAGACUUGUAUUAUAUCAUCUGCGCUUACAUUUAUACUCUAUUUCUGGUUGGAUGCGAAGGACUUAUAUCUUAUACGCUCACAUUUAUUGACUCUUCUAUUUUCUGUUAUACGGAAAGAACAAUCUUUAAGAUGCGGAAAUCUUUUCGUGAAUUGUCAACAAGGCAACAAAAUCGUCGCUUGCAGGCGUACGAAAGUCAACAAGAGCAGGAAACAAAUUCUUCUCCAAAAAAUACUCUAGCUAACGUCCGUACCAAUGUGGAAUUGGUCUCUAAUUUUUACCAAUCCAUUGCUGAUAAUUCAGACGAUAGUGACGAUAAUGACGAUAGAUCCGAUAAUAUUUCAAUGUCUCACGAUCGAGAAAAUAUUAUAAAUGAGAGUAAUGGAAACUUUUCCGAAAAUGCGUACAAAAAUGAAGACUUUUCUACUUGGUUACGUUCGUGGAAAUUGAAACAUAACAUUUCACACAGUGCUAUGUCGGAACUUUUGAGUCAAUUGAGCAUAUGCGGCCAUGCCGAUUUACCAAAGGAUGCAAGAACACUGUUACGAACACCCAGGUUUAACUCUAUCAAGAUUUCAGCCAGCGGAGGUAGUAAUUUUCAUUACGGUUUGGAAAACGGUCUAAUUGAUCAAUUGAUACGUACUAAUUAUGAAAAUGAAAAUAACGUAAUUGAAAUAGAUCUGAAUAUUGAUGGACUGCCAAUAAGUAAGAGCAGCAAAAGUCAAAUUUGGCCGAUAUUGGGAAAGAUCUACGGAAAUAAAGCAUUCACGCCUUUUAUUAUUAGUGCCUAUCAUGGGUACACAAAACCGAAAUCUUUAACAGAUUUUCUGGCUCCUUUCUGCGAAGAGUAUCGUGAACUUCAACGCACAGGAAUCGCUUUCCGUAGAAAAACUUAUGCAGUAAAAAUAAGAUGCGUAAUUUGCGAUAGUCCUGCCAGAUCAUUUGUUACAGGCACUAAAGCACACAAUGCCUUUUUUGGAUGUGGCAAGUGUAUGCAAGAAGGCACGUUUGAUAAUCGUCGCAUGCUUUUCUUAGACUUUGAUUCACCUCCUCGCACCGAUGAAAAUUUUAAAAAUAGAUUGCAAGAAGAGCACCAUAAUAAUACGUCUCCAUUAGAAUCCAUACUGCCUAUGGUGUCACGUUUCCCUCUUGAUUAUAUGCAUCUAGUGUGUCUGGGAGUCACAAAGAAAUUGUUACAGUUGUGGACAAAUGGAUAUCAUACGUCAAAACUGAGUGGUCAAAAAAUAACGCAGUUAUCUGACAAAUUAAUUGCUAUUUCAAAAUGGAUACCAAAGGAAUUUCCUCGAAAACCACGAUCAUUGGAUGACUUGUCUCGAUGGAAAGCAACUGAGUUGCGAUUGUUUCUUCUAUACGUAGGACCAAUUGCUCUGCAUGGUAUUUUGUCGCAAGAUAAUUUACGACAUUUCAAUGUGCUACAUUGUGCUAUUCGCAUACUAUGUCAUUCAACCGAUUUCUUACACAACAAUGAAUAUAGCAGAGAUUUGUUGAUACAUUUUGUGAAAAUCUGUAAAGAGUUAUACGGAGCAGAUUCAAUUAUUUAUAACGUACACAAUUUAAUUCAUUUAAGCGAAGACGCACUCAAAUAUGGAUCACUCGAUAAUUUUUCUGCAUUUCCUUAUGAAAAUUACAUGCAGACAAUAAAGAAAAUGCUCCGAAAAGCUGAAAAGCCACUACAGCAGCUGUACAACAGAAUCUCCGAAAUAAAUACCGAACUUAAAAUUACUGACAAUGAAUCCAUUUAUCCCAUACUGAAGAAGGAAUUUCGAGAAAUUCUUCCUGCAAAUUGCAAAAGAGCACAUCGUGUAAUUCAAUUCAAAGACUUUAUUCUGACAGCUAAGAAACCCGACAAUUGCUGUUAUCUAAAAGAUAAUACAAUUGUUGUUAUUAAACACAUUUGCUAUAACGGAGAUACUGCCGUCAUAAUUGCAAGAAAGUUUUUAACGAAAAAUUCAUUAUCUUUGUACCCAUGUUUAUCGGAAAAUAUGGAUAUGUAUAUUGUAAACAAUUUAUCCCAGUUAAUGAUAUCGGAAGUUACCGAAAUUUCGAAUAAAGCUGUUCAACUUCCAUUCGGGGAAGACUCAUGGUGCUGUAUGCCAUUGUUACAUUCAUUGUAGCAUUAAAUUAGAAAUUAUUACUACCUCUAUACUUCCUGAUAGCGCGCUAAUGAGAAAGAAUGGAGUAUUAUGUUUUAUUGUAUGAUAUGUACUGCAUAUCUGUGCCAUCGUCAUGGAUCAAUUUCGAUCAAAGUACUUUCAAGAUACCCAAAAA